CCUACGGGUGGCAGCAGUGAGGAAUAUUGGUCAAUGGACGAGAGUCUGAACCAGCCAAGUAGCGUGAAGGAUGACGGCCCUAUGGGUUGUAAACUGCUGUUAUAAAGGAAUAAAACGAGGCACGUGUGCGGUUUUGCAUGUACUGUAUGAAUAAGGAUCGGCUAACUCCGUGCCAGCAGCCGCGGUAAUACGGAGGUUCCGUGCGUUAUCCGGAUUUAGUGGGUUUAAAGGGAGCGUAGCUGGGUUGUGAAGGCAGCUGUGAAAGUUUGCGGCUCAACCGUCAACUUGCAAUUGAUACUGGCAUUCUUGCGUCCACUUGAGGUAGGCGGAAUUCGUGGUGUAGCGGU
rnacentral:rRNA from 1 species